rnacentral:rRNA from 1 species
UCAUAAAAGGUGGCUUUUAGCUACCACUUACAGAUGGACCCGCGGCGCAUUAGCUAGUUGGUGAGGUAACGGCUCACCAAGGCGACGAUGCGUAGCCGACCUGAGAGGGUGAUCGGCCACACUGGGACUGAGACACGGCCCAGACUCCUACGGGAGGCAGCAGUAGGGAAUCUUCCGCAAUGGACGAAAGUCUGACGGAGCAACGCCGCGUGAGUGAUGAAGGUUUUCGGAUCGUAAAACUCUGUUGUUAGGGAAGAACAAGUACCGUUCGAAUAGGGCGGUACCUUGACGGUACCUAACCAGAAAGCCACGGCUAACUACGUGCCAGCAGCCGCGGUAAUACGUAGGUGGCAAGCGUUGUCCGGAAUUAUUGGGGCGUAAAGCGCGCGCAGGCGGUUUCUUAAGUCUGAUGUGAAAGCCCCCGGCUCAACCCGGGGAGGGGUCAUUGGAAACUGGGGGAACUUGAGUGCAG